GGCGGGGCGCGGGCCCGAGCUCUGCCGGCUCUGCUGCUGACGCGCGCUGGCUCUUGGACCUGGCGACAGAGCCAGUGACAGUGACCGCCUGGGUUGGAAUCCCAGCUCUGCCGCUCACCGCUGGGCGAGCCGGCGGGUUCCUCAGCCCCUCCAGGCCGCGGUUUCACAGGCAGCAGCAUCAGCACGCGAGGGGGAACCUGGCCCUCGCGCCCUCUGUGGGAGGGUUAAACGAGUCGGUUCACCUGGAGCCGAGACCGGGGCGGACGUGCCCGUGAGCCCAAGCUGUCGGCUGUUUCUUUUUUAAAAAGCAUUUUUAUUUAUUUAUUUUUUGGGGUUAGAGAGAUGAUUAGGUUUAUUUACUUAUUAUUUUUUAACUGGAGGUACUGGGGACUGAACCCAGGACCUUGUGCACGCUCAGCAUCCGCUCUACCGCUGAGCUGUACCCUCCCCCCGACGUUAGCUGGUCCUAUGAGAGCAAGUCGCUUCCCCUCUCCGGGGUUCCGGACCAUCACCCGCAGCGUGCGAGCUUCGGAGAGACGGUCUCUCUAGGUGCUCCACUCAGAGGUUCUUAGAAAUCUGAUGCUAAUUUCCAUGCUAUUUUAUGGACCACUUGCAUGUCAUUUGCUAACUACUAUUUUUUUAAGGCCUGGCCGCAUCACAGUCCUCUUGCUGGAUUGAGCUUACUUCCAGUGAUGCUAGGAAUUGGGGGGGGGGGUCCUUCACUUGUUUUUGCUGCAAUUCCAUUUCUCUCUGCCUCCCACGUGGGCUUUAUUCCUUCUGGGAUGUUUACACAGUAGUUCAGUAACUUAACUGAUUAAAAAAUUCUCCCAUAAAUUUCAACACACUGGCAAGGGAUCUCUGUAGCAGAAACUUAAAAAAAUGGAAUUGCAGGGUUUCUGUUUGGAGACCAAGUACCUGGGAAAGAUACCGUUUAACUAAGGGUCCGCCAAUCACAGACACUCACGGGUGGCCCUCCCCGCCUAUGGUCCCAGACGCCCACAAGGCUCGGGGCGCCCGCCUGGCUUCUGCCCUGGCCCCGGGGCCCCACCCGACGGUGCACUCCAGCAUCCCUCCGGUCUCCAGAACGCACGGUGCACGGCGACCGUCAGUGCUGGGGGCCAGCUGGUGCUCGUACUGGACAGACAGCGGUUUCAGAAUGAAAACUGAAGCCAGGGAUCCGGGGUCUCUGGGCACCAGUGACCCAGACUUCGCUUCCCCAGCUGGGUGGUCAGCUCCACUAGGACCCUGGGGAGGAGGGAGCUCAGGAAGAUGGACGGGAGUGCACAUGCCGCUGUUCGCAGGCCCUGCGACCAGAGCCUCAGGUUUCUUACCUAUAAAAUGUGGGCUGGUACCUUUGUUUUGAUGAACAGAUGGCAGUAUGUGGCUUUAUAAAUUACUUCUUAUCCUGCCAAGUAACGUGCGUGUGUAUUUAUCUGGCUAAAUAAAUAUGGGGCUGCCGUUCAGUCCCAGGUCCGGGCAGGUCCAGUCCCAGCGCGUCCACUGCGCUGCUCGGUCAGGGAGGAAGCACGGGGUGGGGGGGGCGUUGUAAGGGUCUCCCCACUUCUCCCUCUCCCCCGGGGAUCGUUUACUUAUCUCCUAAUGAGUGCAGCUUUGUGACCUGUGAGUGAAUCCUGUCUUAGCGAGUCUCCCUUCCCUGUGGUCUGUGACCACGAAGCCUGGGGAAGGACAUCGAGAGCGGCCGGAGCCCCUGCCUGGGCGCCGUUCCUGCCACCUGACACUCAGCGGAGCCCUCCAGGCUGGUCUUGGCCGCCUCUGCCCCGGCUGCCCCCUGCCUGCAUCCCCCUUCCCCGCAGCCGAGGGUGGCCAGGCUGGCAGGGUCCCCUGGUCCGCGCGGACGUUGUCCAGCGCGGGCUUGUCCUUUUCACCCCGAUCCUACCCCGCCUGGUCCCCUGAGCGCAGUCUUAAUGUCCGUCGCAUGGAAGGUCGAGGAAGCUGCGGGGCAGAAAGAACGGACUUCUUUCAAGGCCUCUCGGCAAAGCAGCUGUGCAGCCAGAGCCAGAACCCGAGAACUCCGGUUCCUCGUCCGCAGCGUCCCGUCGAGUCAGACAUUCAGGGAGCGUCACCACCGUUCCAGGAACUGCCAGGAACUGGAAGACAGUCUUUGCUGACGUGACAGAGCUGGACAGGGGCUCGCCGGGCACCCAGCCUGUCCUGGGCGGAAAGAAGGAGAUCCAAGUCCAGGGACGUGCGGAGGGCGAUCCGUCCGAGACGGCUGUGCCCCCGGCUGGAAGUCAGCAGGAGAAGCCAAGAGUACCCUGAAGGCAUGGACUGAAGAGAGCCUGGCGUCCCAGGAUCAUUGGUACGCAGACAGAGGACCCGGCGUCCCGGCCUCCUCUCUGGAUGGGGAAGGCGGCCACAGUCUCACCAUGAGCUGGGAGUCCCCGCAGCCCAAGGAAACAUUUGUUUUAAGGAAAGGGUUUCAGAAAUAAGCAGAGAAAGAAGUGGGCGAGGAAGACCCUUGGUCCCAGGCUGCUGACUAGAUGAGGAAACAUCCCUGGAAACCCUAGUCUUACGAAGAGCUCAGGUCGCUCCCCAAACCUGGGCCUGCAGAGCCUGCUGGAGCACGUGCUCUUGUCGCCAUCCUCCCCGGACCGCUGGGAGCGCACGGCCCUGCUCUCCGAGCACGGAGGCCACAGAUGUCACUGCAAUCCCCCCCCACCCCGUCGCCCCUCUCAGUGGUCCAGACAAACUCUUGCCUGCUAAAUAAAAUACCACCUGCCACUCGCAAGCCCACAUCUGUGCAGGGCACACCCCUGUCCACGCGGACAACUUGUUUCAAACACCAGAGUAACAGCUUCUAUCUCACCCAAACAGACCGCUGUGAGGGCAGCUUUCCGAGUCCUCGCCCACAGGCAGGACACACAAAGCUGUCUGGAACAGAUCUGGUACUAAUUACCUGGUGCUCUGCGCUGGAACAAGUGGUUAAUCCCCAGGAGGUUUACACUGGCGACUCACCAGCCUGCCCCAGGGUGGAUACGGAACCGAUCUUGGCUCCAGGGACUGUCCCACAUCAUGUGUUGUGCACAUGUGCCCAGCCCAGGGACGGAUUCCGCCGCCCAGCAGAUGGAACCCUUCUGACGGGUCCCACCACGAGAACGUGUAACCGGAGCACAUCGUCUAGUUCCCGCCUUCUCAUGAAGAGCAUCACUGUUCUCAUCCUCAGACCGAACUCUUGCCUUUGCUCCUUCACCUGCUCUUGCCCUCUUCCAAGUCACGGUCUGGAGGCCCCUUCUGGGGCCCAGAGCCAGCAGGUGCCUGUAUCUCCACAGGCUGCCGUGGGGACCCACAGCGAACCCUGAUGUCUGAGAGCCCUCAGUUCACCCUGACGGCAGCUGCCGGAUGCUGGCCUGCUGUGUUUGGGCAAACAGUUGCAGCAGCAAACGUGGUGGGGAAGACAGCACCCACCCGGAAGAGCGAGGAGACGCCUGUGCCGGCCUUUUCUUCCAGGUUAGGGCUGCGUCUUUGAAGAGUUCCCCGGGUAGUGUCUUGGAAAUGGCUUAAACUACUAGAGAAGGUGUGAAAUAGACUUUUAAAUCUGCGACCAGAGGAUUUUCAGAAAGCAAAUGGACAAGAAUGUGGUUUCUUUUUCUCAUGGUAAUUGUAUUCCUUACAAAUUUGUGUCUGGGGCAGGAAGAAGCUGAGAGUCUUUCCUGCAGGCAGACUUUUUUUUCCCUCCCUGAUCCCAGUGACAGAACGAGUAGGUGAAGGUGGAGGGCUUCAAGAACAGACAGGGUGUAUUGGGUGCUUUUGUGACUGGAUGAUUUUAAAAACCACUUUCAAAUC